rnacentral:rRNA from 1 species
CACGUAGGGGGCAAGCGUUGUCCGGAUUUAUUGGGCGUAAAGAGCUCGUAGGCGGCUCACUAAGUCGGGUGUGAAAUUUCGAGGCUCAACCUCGAAACGCCACCCGAUACUGGUGUGGCUAGAGUCCGGUAGGGGAGCGUGGAAUUCCUGGUGUAGCGGUGAAAUGCGCAGAUAUCGGGAAGAACACCCGUGGCGAAGGCGGUUCUCUGGGACGGUACUGACGCUGAGACGCGAAAGCGUGGGGAGCGAACAGG